UACGAAGGGGGCUAGCGUUGUUCGGAUUUACUGGGCGUAAAGCGCACGUAGGCGGAUCGAUCAGUCAGGGGUGAAAUCCCAGAGCUCAACUCUGGAACUGCCUUUGAUACUGUCGAUCUGGAGUAUGGAAGAGGUGAGUGGAAUUCCGAGUGUAGAGGUGAAAUGCGCAGAUAUCGGGAGGAACACCAAUGGCGAAGGCAGCACUCUGGGCCGGUACUGACGCUGAGGAGCGAAAGCGUGGGGAGCAAACAGG
rnacentral:rRNA from 1 species